UUCUCAAAAAAAAAAAAGGUGUGCAACCAAAUAUUAACAAACUUCCAGAUACUCUAUAUUAUGAUGAAGACAAAUUAAAAAUAUGCAUGCAAUCAAUACCAAUUUUCUCUUUUUCAGCAGCAAAACGAGAAGUCAAAAUCCACAUUUAAAUGGGGGAAAAUUUUCAGUUCUGAUUUUCAUGCUGCCAACGGGACACAGCAAUAUUAAUAUCUGGUCACUCUUCUACCAGGCGUUCUAUCAGGUAUAUAAGAAAUUAGAAUGUUGAAAUUUCUGUAAUUUAUAGAAUAAAUGCUAUAUUUUGUAGUCUACUCGGUUAGGAUAUUUGGCUCUCACCUGAAACCCAGGUGAAAGCCCCAGCAACUGAAUUAUAUUUUUUAGACUUAGUUGUCGAUGUUGUUGUAUAGAAUAAAUGCUACAUAGCAGAAAUAGGUAUAAAGCCAUCACUUAACUGAAUCUUUGAAAAAUCUUCUCAACUUCUAUUAGCAUUUGGCGAAUAUUUCUCUUAUAAUGGGAGAUACUGCUUUUUUCCCCUUCAGAUAACUAAUGCAUCAAAUUGUUCACUACAUAAUACAAUUGUAAUGCUAUUAAGUUGCAGAAUUGCAUAAUAUCCUACAUAUAUCAACUUUAUUGCAUGUCAAACACAGAAAUAGGCAUCAAUAGCCAGAACCACAGAGACAAUGCAUUCAUCCCAUAAUAAAACAACAACAACUAAACCUUAAUUCCAAAC
rnacentral:misc_RNA from 1 species